UCCGGUUUAACACCGGCAGUCCCCCUAAAGUGCCCAACUUAAUGAUGGUAACUAGGGGCAAGGGUUGCGCUCGUUGCGGGACUUAACCCAACAUCUUACGACACGAGCUGACGACAGCCAUGCAGCACCUGUCACCAGGUCCCCGAAGGGAAAACCGUAUUUCUACGGCGGUCCUGGGAUGUCAAGCCUAGGUAAGGUUCUGCGCGUUGCUUCGAAUUAAACCACAUACUCCACCGCUUGUGCGGGCCCCCGUCAAUUCCUUUGAGUUUCAGCCUUGCGACUGUACUCCCCAGGCGGGAUACUUAAUGCGUUAGCUACGGUACUCAGAGGGUUAACGCUCCGAACACCUAGUAUCCAUAGUUUACGGUGUGGACUAC
rnacentral:misc_RNA from 1 species